GGGCCUGUAGCUCAACGGUUAGAGCAUACGCUUGAUAAGCGUACGGUUAGUUGUUCAAGUCAACUUGGGCCCA
rnacentral:tRNA from 1 species